rnacentral:rRNA from 1 species
CACGUGGGAAUCUACCUUGUAGUGGGGGAUAAGCCAGGGAAACUUGGACUAAUACCGCAUACGCCCUAAGGGGGAAAGGAGCAAUUCGCUGUAAGAUGAGCCCGCGUCUGAUUAGCUAGUUGGUGAGGUAAAGGCUCACCAAGGCGACGAUCAGUAGCUGGUCUGAGAGGAUGACCAGCCACAUUGGGACUGAGACACGGCCCAGACUCCUACGGGAGGCAGCAGUCGGGAAUAUUGGACAAUGGGGGCAACCCUGAUCCAGCAAUACCGCGUGUGUGAAGAAGGCCUGCGGGUUGUAAAGCACUUUUAGUAGGGAAGAUAAUGACGUUACCUACAGAAAAAGCACCGGCUAACUCCGUG